AACGAACGCUGGCGGCAGGCCUAACACAUGCAAGUCGAACGCCCUAGCAAUAGGGAGUGGCAGACGGGUGAGUAACACGUGGGAACCUUCCCUAUAGUACGGAAUAGCCCAGGGAAACUUGGAGUAAUACCGUAUACGCCCGAGAGGGGAAAGAUUUAUCGCUAUAGGAUGGGCCCGCAUUGGAUUAGCUAGUUGGUGAGGUAAUGGCUCACCAAGGCAACGAUCCUUAGCUGGUUUGAGAGAAUGAACAGCCACACUGGGACUGAGAAACGGCCCAGACUCCUACGGGAGGCAGCAGUGGGGAAUCUUGGAAAAUGGGCGCAAGCCUGAUCCAGCCGUGCCGCGUGAGUGAUGAAGGCCUUAGGGUUGUAAAGCUCUUUUGGCGGGGACGAUAAUGACGGUACCCGCAGAAUAAGUCCCGGCUAACUUCGUGCCAGCAGCCGCCGUAAAAC
rnacentral:rRNA from 1 species